GUGAAUCAUCGAAUUUUUGAACGCAAAUUGCACUCUCCUCGGAGAGUAUGCCUGUUUGAGGGUCAGCCUAUAAAAAUUCGACAUCGUUGUUGUUCUAUGGUGACUUUCUUCGGAGAUGGGUUAUCUUAAAUCCUGGUUUAAGCGACUUAAUAAUUUUUUCUAUGAUUCUCAGAAUGUUUCUUAGAUUCUUCUUCUACACACAGGGUAU
rnacentral:misc_RNA from 1 species